GAUGAACGCUGGCGGCGUGCCUAAUACAUGCAAGUCGAGCGAACGGACGAGAAGCUUGCUUCUCUGAUGUUAGCGGCGGACGGGUGAGUAACACGUGGAUAACCUACCUAUAAGACUGGGAUAACUUCGGGAAACCGGAGCUAAUACCGGAUAAUAUUUUGAACCGCAUGGUUCAAAAGUGAAAGACGGUCUUGCUGUCACUUAUAGAUGGAUCCGCGCUGCAUUAGCUAGUUGGUAAGGUAACGGCUUACCAAGGCAACGAUGCAUAGCCGACCUGAGAGGGUGAUCGGCCACACUGGAACUGAGACACGGUCCAGACUCCUACGGGAGGCAGCAGUAGGGAAUCUUCCGCAAUGGGCGAAAGCCUGACGGAGCAAGGCCGCGUGAGUGAUGAAGGUCUUCGGAUCGUAAAACUCUGUUAUUAGGGAAGAACAUAUGUGUAAGUAACUGUGCACAUCUUGACGGUACCUAAUCAGAAAGCCACGGCUAACUACGUG
rnacentral:rRNA from 1 species